GGGCGCGUAGUUCAGUGGUGGAAUGCUUCCUUCACACGGAAGAGGUCAGAGGUUCGAUCCCUCUCGCGCCCA
rfam:Candidate division WOR-1 bacterium RIFOXYB2_FTLL_36_35 rifoxyb2_full_scaffold_825, whole genome shotgun sequence.